AGCUUAUCCAGAGCGGUGGAGGGAAAGGCCCGAUGAAACCCGGCAACCUUCAGGCAGAUUGUCUGAAAAGGUGCCAAGUCCUUCAAAGGUACAACUUUGAGCGAUAAGAG
rnacentral:ncRNA from 2 species